rnacentral:lncRNA from 1 species
GAAGGUGAAGGUUAUUUGAGAAAAAAAAUCGGUGUUAUUCCUGUAUUGGAAUUGACAUCGAUAAAAUACUUUAAUUGAUUCUUGAGGAAUCAAAGGUUUCUGUACAAUAUAAAGGAAGGAACUAAUAUGCACUAUCAUUUCAAUUGGAUACAAUCAGGACGAAAUAAAUCAAGGGAUGACCAUUUAAAAUACCGUGAUGGAGUUGUGGAUUGCUAUUUAUUAUCAUCUGUCGCUUGCAAUAUUAAUACUAUGAUAUAAAUAUACCUGCUCAGAAAAAGUGAAACUACUAAAAGAAAAUGUUACUUUUGAUGCUGAGUUGAUGAUGGUUUACAGAUCUUUACAAUGGAAAUUAUCCCUAACAUAUAGGCAUUGACAUUUUGACUAUGUACGAGUUGUUAAAUACUUCUGACCUUGCACAUCUCACUGUUAUAAUAAAUCGGGGGAGCUUUGAACUUUCAACAUGCAUGUUUAAACGAGAUUGACGGAGAUAUGUUAGUAUCAUACACAAAAAUAUAUUUUUUUAUGAUAGACAUUUAUAAACUAGCUUUAAAUUGUAUACGUAUUUCAAAAUGUAUACUUGUUGAACAGAAAUCUGUAUUCUGAAUGCAUCAAAAGUAUUUUUGAAUUUAUACUUAAAAUGGCUGUCAAAUUCAUUGCCACCUAUUUGACUUAAAUUCUUGUAUUUGAUUUAUAACAUACUAACAGGUAUCCAAAUAACAAAAAGUCUGGAAUAAACAAUUAACAAUGCAUGGA